CAGUCGCCGCGGUAAUACGUAGGGUGCAAGCGUUAAUCGGAAUUACUGGGCGUAAAGCGUGCGCAGGCGGUUAUAUAAGACAGAUGUGAAAUCCCCGGGCUCAACCUGGGAACUGCAUUUGUGACUGUAUAGCUAGAGUACGGCAGAGGGGGAUGGAAUUCCGCGUGUAGCAGUGAAAUGCGUAGAUAUGCGGAGGAACACCGAUGGCGAAGGCAAUCCUGGGCCUGUACUGACGCUCAUGCACGAAAGCGUGGGGAGCAAACAGGAUUAGAUACCCGAGUAGUCCCUGUCUCUUAUACAC
rnacentral:rRNA from 1 species